rnacentral:rRNA from 1 species
UACGGGGGGUGCGAGCGUUGUCCGGAAUCACUGGGCGUAAAGGGCGCGUAGGCGGCGCGGGAAGUCAUCGGUGAAAGCUCAGGGCUCAACUCUGAGUCGGCCGGUGAUACUCUCGUGCUUGAGCACUGUAGAGGCAGGUGGAAUUCCGGGUGUAGCGGUGGAAUGCGUAGAGAUCCGGAAGAACACCGGUGGCGAAGGCGGCCUGCUGGGCAGUAACUGACGCUGAGGAGCGAAAGCGUGGGGAGCGAACAGG